AUUUUCAGGAAUUACAUAAUAAAAAACUGUUAUGGUGUAUAAUAUAUAUCUGCGUGGCGAGAAGAAUGGGUAUACAUAUUGAAUUAACAAUGAUGUACCGUAGCAAUAUAUUUUCUUCAGAAACUUGUUUGGCUUGGAAACCAAGAGGUCGUAGAGAAUAUACAGAAUAUUUUAAUAUUGAGCGGAUGUACGAUCAAGCAGAUUUCUUUAAUCAGCAGAUUUCUUUUAUAAUUAUAUAUCAAUCACAUCAAGACGUGCCGGAUCGGAUGAAGAUAUCUAUAAAACAAAUAAUCUAUGAACUAGGAAAAGUUUUUAAAAAUUAUAUGCCGAC